rnacentral:rRNA from 1 species
UACGGAGGGUGCGAGCGUUGUCCGGAAUCACUGGGCGUAAAGGGCGCGUAGGUGGCCGAGCAAGGUCGCGGUGAAAGCCCGGGGCUCAACCCCGGGUCGGCCGUGGCAACUACUGGGCUGGAGCACUGUAGGGGCGGGUGGAAUUCCGGGUGUAGCGGUGGAAUGCGUAGAUAUCUGGAGGAACACCGGUGGCGAAGGCGGCAUCCUGGACCGGCAUUGACGCUGAGGCGCGAAAGCCAGGGGAGCAAACAGG